UUUAGAUCUCGAAGACAAUCUGGCAGAUUUCAUUUUACUUUUCUUCACCUCAAAUUGAAAAAAAAAUUGAAGUGUUCUAUCUCUUCUCAUUCUGUAUAUGUGUCUAAGUCCAGCUAACCCCGGUUACGCUUUCUCUUUUUGUAGCCAUAGAUUUGUCUAGAUUCAAAAAGGUCCAGAUCUAGAUUUUCUUAAUAACUAAUAAAAUUUUAGCAGUGAUCAACUGGACAUAAGAGACCUACUAAAGAUAUUUCCAUUUUUUCCAAUUCAUCCAUAUUUACAUUAAUGUAAAUCUCCUACACCGACAGGAUCGAAGAUGUCGUUGAUAAAAAUGCAGCUAGGUAGUAAGAAGAACAGAAUGAUAGAGAUUACAAUUUAUGGCAUUCUGAUCUCAAAUCGAUUGUGAGCAUUUUUUUAUCACCUGUUCUUUAGUUCCAUGACAACAUCCAUAAUUUCUGUUGGUGGGGUGUUAAGUUAGCAUCUCUUUAAGUAUUCUGGAACCAUAAAUUGAUAACACAUAAGUUAAAUGUGAAAUUGAAAUGGAUUGAACCUGUUAAAUAUAAAAAUGUUUAAACACCGUUCUCUAACAGCUUAAGCUUUUAGAGAACAACGGUUGUUUCACAUGAUAUCAGAGCAGGAGGUCCUGAGUUCAAGUCAUGCCAGACCCCUAGUAUAAUUAAUUUCCUCCCAUUUAUCAAGCCCACGUCAUGGGCCAACUAAAAAGUCUCGAGCCCAGACGUGAGGGAGAGUGUUAAAUAUAAAAAUGUUUAAACACCGUUCUCUAACAGCUUAAGCUUUUAGAGUACAACAGUUGUUUCACAGAAGCUUAAGCUUUUAGAGUACAACAGUUGUUUCACAGAACUCCUUAUCUAUGAUGCUGUAUCUGACAUUACACAAGUUGG
rnacentral:lncRNA from 1 species